GAAAAACAAGCCACAAAUGAAUUUGAACAACCUGUCGAUGCAGUAGGCCGCCGACGUCCACACACUCUCUCUGCCAGUCUUGAAAAGCACCCAGGCAUUUUCCAGUCGAUUGUUCUCAGGUUUGUUGAACAUGAGUGGAAAUGAAACUCCAGCACACUGGUAGCACUAAAGACGUGUGAGUAUAACUUUUCCAGUCUGGCACUAAGUGUGACAACAUUCAGGUGGCUGGUCUGACCGUGUCCUACAACGGGUCCCCUGGUGUACGAUGGCAGCCUGUUGUCAGAGUGUAACAGAGACUGCUCCUGCUUGGCUGGGGAGUGGGACCCUGUGUGUUCAGACAACGGCAUCACCUACACCUCCCCCUGCCUCGCAGGCUGCUCCAGCUUUACAGGUUAUGG
ensembl:lncRNA